GCCUGGGUGGCUCAGUCGGUUGAGCCUCCGACUUCGGCUCAGGUCAAGAUCUCACAGUCUGUGGGUUCAAGCCCCGCAUCGGGCU
rnacentral:tRNA from 1 species